rnacentral:rRNA from 1 species
GACGAACGCUGGCGGCGUGCUUAACACAUGCAAGUCGAACGGAAAGGCCUGCUUUCCCUUGUGGAUUGCGGGUACUCGAGUGGCGAACGGGUGAGUAACACGUGAGUGAUCUGCCCCCAACUUGGGUAUAAGCCUGGGAAACUGGGUCUAAUUCUCGAUAGGACUGCAGGGUGGUGCCUGUGGUGGAAAACGAUUUUCUAGUGGUUGGGGAUGAGCUCGCGGCCUAUCAGCUUGUUGGUGGGGUAAUGGCCUACCAAGGCGGCGACGGGUAGCCGGCCUGAGAGGGUGGACGGCCACAUUGGGACUGAGAUACGGCCCAGACUCCUACGGGAGGCAGCAGUGGGGAAUAUUGCACAAUGGGCGGAAGCCUGAUGCAGCGACGCCGCGUGGGGGAUGACGGCCUUCGGGUUGUAAACUCCUUUCGACCGCGAGGAAGCCACCUGGUUGGAAGGGUGGUGACGGUAGUGGUAGAAGAAGCACCGGCUAACUACGUG